AGAGUUUGAUCCUGGCUCAGAACGAACGCUGGCGGCGUGCCUAACACAUGCAAGUCGAGCGGGAACGGUCCCUUCGGGGGCUUAGUACAGCGGCGCACGGGUGAGUAACACGUAGGUGACCUACCUCUUGCUGGGGAACAACUCCGGGAAACCGGAGCUAAUUCCGCAUAAGCCUGCCGGAUCGCGGUCCGGCAUGGAAAGGUGGCCUCUUCAUGAAAGCUAUCGGCGAGAGAUGGGCCUGCGCACCAUUAGCUUGUUGGCGGGGUAAUGGCCCACCAAGGCUACGAUGGUUAGCUGGUCUGAGAGGAUGAUCAGCCACACUGGAACUGAGACACGGUCCAGACUCCUACGGGAGGCAGCAGUGGGGAAUAUUGCGCAAUGGGCGAAAGCCUGACGCAGCAACGCCGCGUGAGUGAUGAAGGCCUUCGGGUCGUAAAGCUCUGUCGGGAGGAACGAAUACCCGUCGGGAACAAUACCUCGGCGGUUUGACGGUACCUCCAAAGGAAGCACCGGCUAACUCCGUGCCAGCAGCCGCGGUAAUACGGAGGGUGCAAGCGUUGUUCGGAAUUACUGGGCGUAAAGCGCGUGUAGGCGGACUUGGAAGUCGGGUGUGAAAGCCCUGGGCUUAACCCAGGAAGUGCGCUCGAAACCACAAGUCUUGAGGUCCGGAGGGGAUCGGGGAAUUCCUGGUGUAGAGGUGAAAUUCGUAGAUAUCAGGAGGAACACCGGCGGCGAAGGCGCCGAUCUGGACGGAUUCUGACGCUGAGACGCGAAAGCGUGGGUAGCAAACAGGAUUAGAUACCCUGGUAGUCC
rnacentral:rRNA from 1 species